GAACUGAAGAGUUUGAUCAUGGCUCAGAUUGAACGCUGGCGGCAGGCCUAACACAUGCAAGUCGAGCGGCAGCACGGGUACUUGUACCUGGUGGCGAGCGGCGGACGGGUGAGUAAUGCCUAGGAAUCUGCCUGGUAGUGGGGGAUAACGCUCGGAAACGGACGCUAAUACCGCAUACGUCCUACGGGAGAAAGCAGGGGACCUUCGGGCCUUGCGCUAUCAGAUGAGCCUAGGUCGGAUUAGCUAGUUGGUGAGGUAAUGGCUCACCAAGGCGACGAUCCGUAACUGGUCUGAGAGGAUGAUCAGUCACACUGGAACUGAGACACGGUCCAGACUCCUACGGGAGGCAGCAGUGGGGAAUAUUGGACAAUGGGCGAAAGCCUGAUCCAGCCAUGCCGCGUGUGUGAAGAAGGUC
rnacentral:rRNA from 1 species